rnacentral:rRNA from 1 species
UACGGAAGGGGCAAGCGUUGCUCGGAAUCAUUGGGCGUAAAGGGCGCGUAGGUGGUUCUGUAUGUCUACCGUGAAAGCGUACGGCUCAACUGUAUUUUGUCGGUAGAAACUGCAGGACUUGAGGCUGGGAGGGGCUGGUGGAAUUCCCUGUGUAGCGGUGAAAUGCGUAGAGAUGGGGGAGAACACUCGUGGCGAAGGCGGCCAGCUAGACCAGUUCUGACACUGAGGCGCGACAGCGUGGGGAGCAAACAGG